UCAAGUUAUUAAGGGUGCAGGGCGGAUGCCUUGGCACUAGGAGCCGAUGAAGGACGUGAUAAGCUGCGAUAAGCUUCGGGGAGUUGCACGUAAACUUUGAUCCGAAGAUUUCCGAAUGAGGAAACUCACUUAGAGUAAUGUCUAAGUAUCAUUAAGUGAAUACAUAGCUUAAUGAGGGGAACUCAGGGAACUGAAACAUCUAAGUACCUGAAGGAAGAGAAAGAAAUUCGAUUCCGUAAGUAGCGGCGAGCGAACGCGGAUUAGCCCAAACCAAUAAAGUUUUCUUUAUUGGGGUUGCGGACAUAUCAUAACGAAGAGGUAUCGUAAUUGAAGAGGUUUGGAAAGACCCACCACAGAAGGUAAUAGUCCUGUAUGUUAAACGAGAAGACUUUAGAUAUGAUCCAGAGUACCACGGGACACGUGAAACCCUGUGGGAAGCAGGAGGGACCACCCUCCAAGGCUAAAUACUACCUAGUGACCGAUAGCGUAUAGUACCGUGAGGGAAAGGUGAAAAGAACCCCGGGAGGGGAGUGAAAUAGAACCUGAAACCCUGCACUUACAAGCUGUGGAAGCACAUUUCUUGUGUGACCGCGUACUUUUUGUAGAACGGGCCAACGAGUUACGUUAAGUAGCAAGGUUAAGCACUUAAGGUGCGGAGCCGUAGCGAAAGCGAGUUUUAACUGAGCGUUCAGUUACUUGACGUAGACCCGAAACCGGGCGACCUACCCAUGAGCAGGAUGAAGCGAAAGUAAAAUUUCGUGGAGGUCCGAACCCACGAGCGUUGAAAAGCUCGGGGAUGACUUGUGGGUAGCGGUGAAAUUCCAAUCGAGCCCGGAGAUAGCUGGUUCUCCCCGAAAUAGCUUUAGGGCUAGCCUCAAGGUGAGAGAUACGGAGGUAGAGCACUGAAUGUCCUAGGGGGUAUUGCACCUACCGAAGACUAUCAAACUCCGAAUGCCGUCAUCUUAUACUUGGGAGUCAGACUGUGGGUGAUAAGAUUCAUAGUCGAAAGGGCAACAGCCCAGAUCGUCAGCUAAGGUCCCUAAAUGUAAGUUAAGUGGUAAAGGAUGUGGGAUUGCACAGACAACCAGGAUGUUGGCUUAGAAGCAGCCACUCAUUCAAAGAGUGCGUAAUAGCUCACUGGUCGAGUGAUCCUGCGCCGAAGAUUUCCGGGGCUAAAACUUACUACCGAAGCUACGGCAUCAGUAAUGAUGGGUAGGGGAGCUUCCCAUACGGGUUGAAGCAUGACCGUAAGGACAUGUGGACAGUAUGGGAGUGAGAAUGUUGGCAUGAGUAGCGAGAUGUGGGUGAGAAUCCCACAGGCCGUAAACCCAAGGUUUCCAGGGGAAGGUUCGUCCGCCCUGGGUUAGUCGGGACCUAAGCUGAGGCCGAAAGGCGUAGGUGAUGGACAACAGGUUGAUAUUCCUGUACUACCGAUAACCGUUUGAGAGAAGGGAUGACACAGUAGGAUAAGCUAAGCACACUGUUGGUUAUGUGUGCCCAAGCAUUGAGGCAGUCAAAGUAGGCAAAUCCGCUUUGAUAAUGCUGGGAUGUGAUGGGGAGCGAAAUUUAGUAGCGAAGUAGCUGAUUUCACACUGUCAAGAAAAGUCUCUAUCGAGGUUAAAGGUACCCGUACCGCAAACCGACACAGGUGGGUGAGGAGAGUAUCCUAAGGCCAGCGAGAGAACUGUUGUUAAGGAACUCGGCAAAAUGACCCCGUAACUUAGGGAUAAGGGGUGCCACCAUCAGGUGGCCGCAGAGAAUAGGCCCAAGCGACUGUUUACCAAAAACAUAGGUUUCUGCUAAGUCGCAAGACGAUGUAUAGGAGCUGACGCCUGCCCGGUGCUGGAAGGUUAAGGGGAUCUGUUAGAGCAAUCGAAGCAGUGAACUUAAGCCCCAGUAAACGGCGGCCGUAACUAUAACGGUCCUAAGGUAGCGAAAUUCCUUGUCGGGUAAGUUCCGACCCGCACGAAAGGCGUAACGAUUUGGGCACUGUCUCAACAACAGACUCGGUGAAAUUGUAAUUCCGGUGAAGAUGCCGGAUACCUGCGACAGGACGGAAAGACCCCAUGGAGCUUUACUGUAGCUUGACAUUGGGUCUUGGUACUACAUGUACAGGAUAGGUGGGAGGCUUUGAAACCAGGACGCCAGUUUUGGCGGAGCCAUCCUUGGGAUACCACCCUUGUAGUACUGGGACUCUAACCAUAGGCCAUGAAUCUGGUCUUGGGACACUGUCAGGUGGGCAGUUUGACUGGGGCGGUCGCCUCCCAAAAGGUAACGGAGGCGCUCAAAGGUUCUCUCAGUACGGUCGGAAAUCGUACGUAGAGUGUAAAGGCAAAAGAGAGCUUGAUUGCAAGACAUACAGGUCGAGCAAGGAUGAAAAUCGGACUUAGUGAUCCGGUGGUUCUGCGUGGAAGGGCCAUCGCUCAACGGAUAAAAGCUACCCUGGGGAUAACAGGCUUAUCUCCCCCAAGAGUCCACAUCGACGGGGAGGUUUGGCACCUCGAUGUCGGCUCAUCACAUCCUGGGGCUGUAGUAGGUCCCAAGGGUUGGGCUGUUCGCCCAUUAAAGUGGUACGCGAGCUGGGUUCAGAACGUCGUGAGACAGUUCGGUCCCUAUCCGUCGCAGGCGUAGGAAAUUUGAGAAGACCUGUCCUUAGUACGAG
rnacentral:rRNA from 1 species